rnacentral:rRNA from 1 species
GAUGAACGCUGGCGGCGUGCUUAACACAUGCAAGUCGAACGGUGAAGCAGGAGCUUGCUCUUGUGGAUCAGUGGCGAACGGGUGAGUAACACGUGAGCAACCUGCCCCUGACUCUGGGAUAAGCGCUGGAAACGGCGUCUAAUACUGGAUAUGUGAUGUGACCGCAUGGUCUGCAUCUGGAAAGAAUUUCGGUUGGGGAUGGGCUCGCGGCCUAUCAGCUUGUUGGUGAGGUAAUAGCUCACCAAGGCGUCGACGGGUAGCCGGCCUGAGAGGGUGACCGGCCACACUGGGACUGGGACACGGCCCAGACUCCUACGGGAGGCAGCAGUGGGGAAUAUUGCACAAUGGGCGGAAGCCUGAUGCAGCAACGCCGCGUGAGGGAUGACGGCCUUCGGGUUGUAAACCUCUUUUAGCAGGGAAGAAGCGAAAGUGACGGUACCUGCAGAAAAAGCACCGGCUAACUACGUGCCAGCCGCCGCGGUAA